GCUGUUUAAGGCGGCUGCCCCCUGUGGAGACACAAGAGGGGAAGCAGGAAAGCUUCGGGUCCGAGAAGAGGGAAGCCAGUUUGAAGCCACAGCUGGAGAAUGGGCAGAUGUGAGGAGGACCGGAAGCCCGGUUCUGCCUGGUCCUGCCCCGCCCCUUUCCACCUGGAGCCGCCACUGCCUCAGUCUUCUUCCCGGAAGAACAGCAGCACACACAGGAGGCUGGGAAAGUUGGGGGACCGGUUUACAAGUCUAAGGGCAGGAGUUCACAGUCUUUGUGCUCCACGCAGACACUCACUCGGGCAAUACUUGGCCGAUGAGAUCAAUCCACCUACACCUUUAAGUUGUUCUCGCUCACACAGGGCCCAGAAGGUCUAAGCCUUGGACCGGGACCAGGGUUCUGCCACAAACAUCUGCCAGGGCCAACAGCCCUUGGGGAGCAGAUACAUAAUGUAAACUGCGUUUGGAUGGAGGAGUCGGAGAAGGCGGAGUGAGGGAUCUGGAUAGCACAGGGACUGCGCAGGAAUUUGGCUUCGGCCUGCACUGAGCCUUCGUAGACAAUCACCUUAAUGCACAACCGUACAAGCCCAAAACUUGAGUGGUCCGUUGGCAGGAGAGAGGCACCCAUAUGCCUGUAGAGUUGCCUACAAGGGCCCCAGGAGACUGAGAGGGAAAGGCCUGCUGCCCGGCUGGUACUCAUCACCGGUAUCCAAUUCACCGUCCAAGAGGCUGCAGAAGGAUUCUUCUCUGGGUUUCAAUCUUCACGGCAAUGAACCAUUUUAUCUCAGAACGCGGGGGUGGGGGUGGAUGAAUUCCCUUUCCGUAAUGCAGAUGGACUAAAUCCCCUUUGCUUGCUCUCUUGAAAAAGAAAAUUCAAAAGCUGUUGCCAUUUGCGCUCUUGGACGGUGCCUGAUAAGGCUGAGCUGCUUGGCUCGGUGCAGAGUCUCGGCCUGGCUUUGAGUUUGAUGGGGGCUUAGAGGCCUGGAGCAGGCCAGUGAACAGCCUGACUCAGGCGGGGAAGGGUCUGAGAAGGACCCUGGAACUUCCUGGUAUCCUCAGGAAGACGUACAGAAAAGCCUGUCCUGGACUCGCCCUGACUCGCUGUCCUAAGCCACCCACGCCCACUCGGACGGAGCCUGGGUCAGUCCAUUGCUGGUGCUCACAGCCCAUCACAGCCCGGACUGAGCACGGACUGAGCCGGGCAUUACCUGCAUUCUCUCACUGGAGAGCCAUUUUACAGGUUGGAGACAGGAGACCCAAGUGUUUAAUCUUUUAGACAGCACAGCUAAGGCUCAACCGGAAAAGGCUCGAGCUGCCAAGCCGGAUGACCCAAGUUCAGUCCCCGGAAUACACAACUCCCCCAGGUUGCCCUCGGAUCCCCGCACUGUGCCCCUCCCCCAACUGUACUUCCUACACAUAAACAUAGAUCACAUGGGAUUUGAACUCCUGCUUCUGUUGAGCCUGUGUUCUUCACUCUAAGUGAGGCCCUUCCUGAUUUGGGUUCCAGCUAACCCCAAGCAGGCUUCUUUGCCCUCCUGCCACACCCCUCACCCUUUCCUCCAAGCUCUGACACUCAACACUGAGCAGUGUGCCAAAUGAGACUUUCCAAUGCUAAGCUCCCUUGGCCUUCUGUUUGCCUUAGUGGUUCUUAAGUGUGUCCCCAGAUCGACAGCAUCACAUCCCACCUCAGACAGACCUGCUGAAUCAGAAACUCUGGGCACAGGGCCCGGCACUCGGCUUUAACAAGGGUUCCUCUGGUUGUGAUACAUGACAAGCUUGAGAAGUACUGGCUGCCUCUUGCUUCUUUAGACCAAACAAACCGUGAUGACAACUGAGGGCAACCUUGGCUCUUGCCGUGGUCUUUGUCACCUGAGCCAGCUCAUCAGUUCAGGGGAAGCUGACAGAAGAGGCCAUUGUCACGUGAACAUUAUCGACACUCCAACAGUUCCAGUGGCUUAGUCAGAAAAAAAAAAUCUAGAGAUGGCCCAGGGGUUAACAGCACUUGCUGCUCUUGAGGACGACCCUGGUUCACUUCCCAGCACCUGUAUCGGGUAGGUCAUUAUGCAGCCUUAACUCCAGUUCCAGGGAUCCUGACACAUUCUUCUAGCUUCCGCAGGCUCUGGCGGCGCACACAUAUAUGCCUGCACUCUCAUGUACACAUAAAAAUAAGGAUUGAUAUUUUUUCAAUCCCCUGGUUUGGAGGGAAAAAUCACCUGGGACCAUGUCAGUUCUUGAAAUGUCUUAACAGCCUGCAACCCACAGCCCAACCCAGGAAAUAAGUUCCUAAACACAUUUGUCCUGACAGUGAAUUCUGACCUUACUAACGAGCCCUCUAACUCUAAUUAUGGAAUUGUCUACCUUUCUCUUUAACUCUGUCCAUUUUUGCUCCAUGUAUUUGAAACACUUUAUUCGUUGCAUACAUGAGUAUGAUUGUUUUCCUCUGCCAUUAUUUUCAACUUGUGUCUUUAGAUUUGAAUUACAUCUCCUGUAGACUGCAAAUAAUUAAGUCUUUUUAAAAAAUCUCAUCUGACAAUCUCUGCCUUUUAAUUGGAAUGUUUAGUCCAUUAACAUUUAAUGUAAUUAUUGAUAUGGUUGAAUUUAGUUUUAUUUUGCCCCUCUGUUUUUUAUUUCUCUAUCCUUCCUUCCCUGCCUUCUUUUGGAAUUUUAAAAUUCCAUUUAAAUUUAUCUAUUGGGUUUGUAGCUAUACCUCUCUGCAUUAAUUCUUUAAUGAUUGCCCCAGGGAUUACAAUGCAUCCUUAACUUUUCACAGUCCACUUAGAGUUACUAUUUCAAGUAAAACAUAGAAACUUUGUAACCACAGAUGUCCAUUACUCCCUGCCCCCUUCCUUCAUGCUGUGAAUAUCAUAUGUAUUACAUCUACAUAAAUUAUAAAACCCACAUACAAUGUUAUAAUUUUGUCUUAAAUAGCCAUGUGAAUUUCAGAACAAUUAAGGAGGCUUAUUGCCAAAGGGAACCUCAAAAUUAAGGGAAUUUUCAGGAAUCUGAUUCUCAUCAUGGUUAGAAAAAGGAGCCUGGAUCUUUCAAUGAUUGUUUGUCUCUUCCAGGUGAGGCUGAUUUUAGGACCACAGGAAGGAAGCACAGCUGAUUCAUCUCUAACCCUGUCUUUGUUUCCCAGUUUACUGGAACUCCAUUAUCAGACCCAAAGUUGUCUCCAGCGUACCCACAGGCGCUAUGGCAUAGACCUGAUGAUCCCUGGCUUUUCUUUUGUCCAGGUUUCUUCUGCUUCUCUCACAUGAAACCCUUGGUCUCACGUUUUUUUGACUGCUGUUUUCUUUUUCUGACCCUGUGCAUGCAGGUCAGAGUUUGUCCCCAAGCAUAAUAGAUAUACUGGUCAGCUUUGCUAAAUGAGUCCAGGAAUCCCAGACGGGCUGACGGUUCCCUCAGAGAACAGUGGAGCACAAGGAGGAAGACGCUGGGAAGGGGAAGAAAGCGCCUUCCAGUAGUAGUGGUAGGAAAUGGGUCCCCGGGCAGGGUGUUGUGUAAUAGUCUCCCGCAAGAUUGAAACAUUCCAUUCUGCAGAGAAGCUCCUCAAACAGGAAGAUGAACAAUUCGAAAUAGCUGCAGGAACUCUCUGAAACUGACCAGAUUCACCAGGCCCCUCCCUGCCAGAGUGAGCAAUAAAAGCUGAGAGUCCCCCCUCAAGACCAGAGAGCCCAACUACAAAGACAACUGAGGCCAGACCAGCUGCCUGGAAGAAGCAGAAACCAGCUGAGAUGCCGGAAGAUGUUUAGAUCAACUGAGUCACUUGGAAAGGACACUCUCCAACCUGUUAGGAUGCCUUUAGGCUGUGCAGUGUGCUCCAGGUUCCCAGCUUCGUGAGCUGUCACCAUGCUGGGGUAGCUUUGGGGACACUGCUGUCUGUGAGUCAUUUCUGGUCCUGUUAGGAACCCCUCACCCACAUUCCCGUAAGUGACCCCAGUAAAACUCAUUGGUUCACCAGGCUGGACUUUGGUCUGUCGUGAGAUUUCUCUCUGGAGUGAGUAGACGUGUGUGUUGCAUCUCCCCAGGAAAAGUCUUGCCACAGAACACAGGGCUCUAGCCAAACCAUCACUGGGGGACCCCAGAAAGCUGGAGUCAACUCUGAUGGAAUGAAAAUGUGAUGCUUGAGAUUGUAAUGGCUGCGAAGGGAGGGCCGGGCCAGGGUAUGUGGGCAUGUGGGUGAGACCCGGAUUUUCAGCUCGUGUGUACCUGGAGGAAGUGAGCCCUGGGCCACCCAGAGCUGCUGACGCUGCAGCCUGGAGGCCCGAAGCUUUGUGGAGAAGCCAUUAGUCGGGUGACAGGGGAAAGAAUGAAAAGCUGCCUGGUUCAGGGUCGGCAAGGGCUGCCGGCCCCACUGUAAGGGAGGCAAAAAUACAUCUGGGUUUUUCUGGGGCACACCCGGGGCUGACCAGAAAAGGACCUUCAUCCCAGAAUACGCCUGUGAGUGGAGUUUCCCCUAAGUGUCAGAGGAAGAAGGGCGGCGUCCAGGGGUCAGGACAGGGAGAGGCCGGCAGGACUGGAAGGAGGCGAAACUGGAGGAUCCCCUGAGUCAUGCCUUCCCUCACCUGUGCCCAGCCAAGUGAAUACCAUGAGACCUGCAAUACCUAACUUCAUAUGAAAUGUGAUCAUCAAUACUGGGGCAGAGUUUUGCAUGAGGUUUGUAGAAAACUUUGUAGGCGGGAGCUGGAAUAGGAACAAGCCACGGCAUGUUUCAGCCCAUGGGAGCAAGUUAGCCGCUGCGCCGGGUACCGCCGGCUACAGGGAAGGCUUCGCCUGUCCAAGCAGUGGGAAUUAAGCAGAUCUCCCAGGGAGACUGGACCUGUUAUAAUAACCUGAAGUGUUUGGGCCCACGCCAGGAAGGGAUGAGAAGGUACCGCGGCUAACAAAAUCUGCUGUACACACAUCCCCAAGACAGGCUGGCCACUAGUGACAUUAGGUGACCUAAGGUGGCCACUACAUCUCAGGGCACCGUGGGGUGUCCAGGUCCCUGGGAUUUUCACACUUGACACUUUUUACAUUUUACAGAACACUAUGCUCUUCUCUGCAUUGAGCUUCUUUCAGACGCUGCGUGGACAGCGUGAUCACCAAACAGACAAUGCUGUGCCUCUCAUUCAGUUUCCGGGGCUCAAGCCAAGAAGCAAGCGGACCCCUCCCCUGCCUCCUUUUCCUCCGAAGAAACCCCAGAGAACUGGAAAUGCACUCCACUCCCCGACCCCUGCCCACCUCAGCUCUUAACCUACAACUGACGUGACUACCGUUCCCCGUUGGCGAAGGGCCUAGACACACGGGACCUUCAAAGAAUUCAAAGUAGAUUCCUCCCCUUAGGAAGCCUGGAAUCGAGGACUGGAGAGACCACCGUCCCAAGCCGUCUCUCCCAGAUGGCUCCUCAGCUUCUGGACAGAUGUGCAAGGUCAUUCUCCCUGCCCCCUAGAGAAGAAAGCAGUCUCCUCCCAGGUCCUCACAGCAGGGUCAGCAGUGUGGCUCCUGUUCACACUCAGCAGGGCAGCAGGUCCCUUUCCGGGAACCAUCUGCCUGGACACUUAGAUGUUUCUUGGUAGGGCCGGCUACUGGACAGUCCUCGGUGGGAACUUUAUAA